ACGUGAUCUGAGUUCAGACCGGAGUGAUCCAGGUCAGUUUCUAUCUAUAAUGGAGCUCUUUCUAGUACGAAAGGACCGAAAAAGCAUGGCCAAUACUUAAUGCACGCCAUAAUUAAUAAUUUCUGAUUCAACCUUAAUAAAUAAUUAAUCCCCCAACUGGCUCUAAAAAAGAGC
rnacentral:rRNA from 1 species